rnacentral:rRNA from 1 species
UGGGGAAUAUUGCGCAAUGGGCGAAAGCCUGACGCAGCAACGCCGUGUGAGGGAUGAAGGCCUUUGGGUCGUAAACCUCUGUCAGAUGGGAAGAAUUAUGACGGUACCAUCAGAGGAAGCCCCGGCUAACUCCGUGCCAGCAGCCGCGGUAAUACGGAGGGGGCAAGCGUUGUUCGGAAUUAUUGGGCGUAAAGAGUAUGUAGGCGGCUGGAUAAGUCAGACGUGUAAGCCCACGGCUCAACCGUGGAAUUGCGUUUGAAACUAUUCAGCUUGAGUACAGAAGAGGAAGGCGGAAUUCCCAGUGUAGCGGUGAAAUGCAUUGAUAUUGGGAAGAACACCGGUGGCGAAGGCGGCCUUCUGGUCUGUUACUGACGCUGAGAUACGAAAGCCAGGGGAGCAAAGGGG